UUUUAGAUUAAAUCUUAUUUUUGUUUUUUUCUCAGAGCCCGACAAGCAGCGACGAUGUCUCAGACUCAUCGACAGACUCAAAGAAGCCUCCGGCUGAACCUGGAAGUGGAGCUGCUGCUGCCAACAAAGAGGACUCAGAGUCGUCUCAGAGCUGUGCGGUGGUUUUGGAAAACGUCACAGACAACAUGUCCACAGAUCUGCUCUCCAUGCUGGUGGAGAACAUCUCUGGGUUGGAUGAGAACGGCUACAGCA